AGUAGUAAGAGAUCAGUUGGAUAUUGGAAGGGCUAUAUUUUGUCAAAUUGAUCUCUUAUCACGCC